rnacentral:lncRNA from 1 species
AGGCAACUCCGACAUUGUCGUACAGGUUGCAAUAGGCAACUCCGACACUAUCGUACAUGUUGCCUAUGAGUUGUACAGGUUGCAUUAGGCAACUCCAACUCAUGUGUUGUCAUAGAUUGAUUUAUGAGUCAUAUAGGUUGCAUUAGGCAACUCCAACUCAUGUGUUAUCAUAGAUUGAUUUAUGAGUUGUACAGGUUGCAUUAGGCAACUCCGACUUGUGGGUUAUCAUAGAUUGAUGAGCACCUGAUUUUAUUAUGUUGUUGCCGAUAUGUAGUGAUUUGGAAUAUUUCUGGAGUUACUGUUGAUUUACAUUUGAUUUCAUACUGAUACGUAGUAUGAUUUCUUGGAAACUAUACAGGUAUUACAACGAAGGGUUAUAUCGUAUAGAAGGUCUUUAUUAAAGCUUUAUUGUCAGGCCCACUCACUCUUGUUUUUUAUCCCUCCAGGUUCUAGUAGCAGAGUUUUCGUAUUGACGAGGAUUUGUGGCAAGUCUUGGUAUUGAAGAUUGCCUUCGAUGGUAUGAUUUUCAAUCCACUCUACUAUACUUUACUUAUGCUUUGACGUCACGUGUGAAAUGGGUUCAUUCUCGCUCACAUCGCACUCUCGUAUUUAGGCACUUUUAGGUUUAAAUUUAUUCACAUAUUCACAUCGCUACACUUUAUGGCUUCGUCACCUUCCAGGUGUCGGCCGGUACAACCCGAUUCGGAGUCCUAGUGGACAAUCGGGUCGAGAUGUGUCAGUUUGGUAUCAGAGCAUAAGAUGGGCAAUAUUACGUUUUUCACAUGCAUGAUGUAAGCAUUUUUUAUUCUUGAACCUAAUUUAUGAAUCUUGCCACCUCGUUGAAUACGAAAAAUGUGUUAGUUUUUCCUCAGUUUGGGCAGUUUUGUCGACUGUCAAUGGUUUAGAAGAUCAUGUUGGCGAACGCCUCUAAAUUAUAAGGGAAGAAUUUCCCUGCCAAGGAAAGAUGUAGAUUUGGGAUAAGUUGAUGACCUUGAAGUAGGGUUGGGGGAUAAUUUCCUAUCAAUUCCACUAUUAUCUAGUCAUUUCUUCCAAUCUUUUCAAGUUAGGAAACCAUUGAUAGUCUUGAUUCCUUGGCAGUACCCGUUAAUGUUUCACUUACUAGAAUCCUUACGAAGGUUUAGUUUUCUUCGAAAUUUCCAGAAAUGUCUCGUGUGACAAUGUGGUGCUACAUGGGUAAC